GUCUAUGGCCAUGCCACCCUGAACACCCCUGAUCCCAUCUGAUCUCGGAAGCUAAGCAGGGUCGGGCCUGGUUAGUACUUGGAUGGGAGACCACUUAGGAAGACCUGGUGCUGUAGGUG
rfam:Pteropus alecto contig17983, whole genome shotgun sequence.